UGGGGAAUAUUGCACAAUGGGCGCAAGCCUGAUGCAGCAAUGCCGCGUGAGUGAAGACGGCCUUAGGGUUGUAAAACUCUUUCGCUAGGGAAGAUAAUGACGGUACCUAGUAAAGAAGUCCCGGCUAACUCCGUGCCAGCAGCCGCGGUAAUACGGAGGGGACUAGCGUUGUUCGGAAUUACUGGGCGUAAAGAGUUCGUAGGCGGACUAGCAAGUUAGAGGUGAAAUCCCAGGGCUCAACCUUGGAACUGCCUUUAAAACUGCUAGUCUAGAGACCGGAAGAGGUUAGGGGAAUACCUAGUGUAGAGGUGAAAUUCGUAGAUAUUAGGUGGAACACCAGUGGCGAAGGCGCCUAACUGGUCCGGUACUGACGCUGAGGAACGAAAGCAU
rnacentral:rRNA from 1 species